rnacentral:misc_RNA from 1 species
GAAAUGCGAUAAGUAAUGUGAAUUGCAGAAUUCAGUGAAUCAUCGAAUCUUUGAACGCACAUUGCGCCCGCCAGUAUUCUGGCGGGCAUGCCUGUCCGAGCGUCAUUUCAACCAUCAAGCCCCCGGGCUUGUGUUGGGGACCUGCGGCUGCCCGCAGGCCCUGAAAACCAGUGGCGGGCUCGCUGUCACACCGAGCGUAGUAGCAACCACCUCGCUCAGGGCGUGCUGCGGGUUCCGGCCGUUAAACAGCCUUACAAAACCCAAGGUUGACCUCGGAUCAGGUAGGAAGACCCGCUGAACUUAAGC